rnacentral:rRNA from 1 species
UACGGGGGGGGCAAGCGUUGUUCGGAAUUACUGGGCGUAAAGGGUUUGUAGGUGGCUUGCUAAGUCAGACGUGAAAUCCCUCAGCUUAACUGGGGAACUGCGUCUGAGACUGGCAAGCUUGAGUGCAGGAGAGGAACGCGGAAUUCCAGGUGUAGCGGUGAAAUGCGUAGAUAUCUGGAGGAACACCGGUGGCGAAGGCGGCAUCCUGGACCGGCAUUGACGCUGAGGCGCGAAAGCCAGGGGAGCAAACGGG